UUGAUUUAGAAAAUAAUUAAACAAAUAAAAUAACAAGAGCAGCUAGGAUUUUUAAGUGAGACCAAACCUUCCCUAACAAUUCAGAGACAAACGCCUUUCUCUUUUCUCUUUUUUUCUUCUUCUUUCUUCACUAUUUCUUUUUCCCUCUCCUUCUGCACUGCUGCUGCCUCCAGCUUGCUGUCCCAUCGCCACCGCCGGCCAAUUCUGCUGCAGCUACAGCCUCCACCUGCUCCCCCACCUGCUGCCGUGAAGGCUGUCGACACCAACAGCUAUUGUCCAGCUGCGUGGCAUCCUCCACAACCACCUAGUCUUCACUCCUUUUCUAGUUCCCUCAUUGUUCCCAAUUCAUAAGAAGAAAGUAGAAUCUUAGUUGGGUGACUUUUGUAACUUUUGGUCGUGCAAUGACGCUUGCAGGUACGUACACGCAGUAAUUAAUUAUCAUACUCAUCGUUUCAAGGUAUUAUCAACAUUUUAUGAUUAUAUGUAUUGUAUUAGAAUUAUAGAGCGCCAGAAAGUAAACUCUGCUAUCGAAUAAUCAGUGAUAUAGGCAAGUAGAAUGAAAGCAUUAGGAGACUAUGAGAACAAACUCUUAAAUAGUAGAGAACGUACCAUGGUUGUGUGUGGUAUCGAAGUGAUUUCCUAGUUAUUGAGCCUUGAUUAUGAUUAGUUGGUGUGACUCAACUGGAUUAUAUCCGGUUGAUUUAGUAGUCCCCUAGGUGAGAUUCGACGGGAUCACCAUAAGAGGGGUAUGAGCAUACUUUUGUCAUUGGGCAUUUGGUGGCCGAUACCGCCCCUUGACCGAGGUGUUACCAUGCGGGCCUUGCAAACCCCAAUAUGGUGGCCUCUUCACUGGAUUGGUACCUCAAUGUGUUAGUUUUCCCGAAGGUAGGACCCGAGAGGUUUAGCUGGAGAGGGUAUGAGCUCAUAAUUUGCCAUGGACGCCGGGUGACCGAUAAAGCCCUUAGCCGUGUCACUAUGCCAUGAAUAGAGAAAAGAUCCACUACCUUUGAAUAUACUUCGAGGGAUUAGUAGUUUGAAAGAAAAAUCAUCAGUAAAUAGAGGUGUUUAGACAGAUGAGUAGAUUCGUUAUUGCUAUGCUAUAUCAUUGUCUAUCGUUUUGUUCAAUGACUCUAAUUGUUAUAAGUUCAUUGAUUACUGACGUGUAUGUGUUUGUUGUUGUUUGUUCAUGACUUCCUGUGAUGUUCCUGCUAUGACACAUUUGACUAUGGUCAUUAUGUUGAGCAGCAAGAGGAUCAUAGCUUGGUAUAACAGGUAUAGAAGUUUCUUUUGCUUGGCAAUGGAGAAAGAGUGGAGUGCGAUUAUAGCAAUUACUAUACGAUUAGCCUGACGUUGUAGCUCUUAUAUUAAUUGUUAAGUUUUGGGUUGUAUAAUCACUUUUUUUUGGAGCCAUGUGAUUCCUUGUAAAGUUAUAGUCCGCUGUGUAGUUUCUGGAUGUAUGAUCGUAAGAAUAGUUCUUUUGUAUACGUUAAACCGAUGCGUUAACAUUGGAACCACGACCCGUGUUGGAAUUAGUGAAUUGAUGAGCCGAGGAUGAUUCAUCU